UACGUAGGGUGCAAGCGUUGUCCGGAUUUAUUGGGCGUAAAGAGCUCGUAGGCGGUCUGUCGCGUCGGAUGUGAAAACCCAGGGCUCAACCCUGGGCCUGCAUUCGAUACGGGCAGACUAGAGUGUGGCAGGGGAGACUGGAAUUCCUGGUGUAGCGGUGAAAUGCGCAGAUAUCAAGUGGAACACCAGUGGCGAAGGCGAGUCUCUGGACAUUUCCUGACGCUGAGGCACGAAAGCCAGGGGAGCAAACGGG
rnacentral:rRNA from 1 species